ACCAGACUCCUACGGGAGGCAGCAGUGGGGAAUAUUGCACAAUGGGGGAAACCCUGAUGCAGCGACGCCGCGUGAGUGAAGAAGUAUUUCGGUAUGUAAAGCUCUAUCAGCAGGGAAGAAAAUGACGGUACCUGAUUAAGAAGCCCCGGCUAACUACGUGCCAGCAGCCGCGGUAAUACGUAGGGGGCAAGCGUUAUCCGGAAUCACUGGGUGUAAAGGGAGCGUAGACGGCUGAGCAAGCCUGAAGUGAAAGGCGGGGGCCCAACCCCCGGACUGCUUUGGGAACUGUACGGCUGGAGUGCAGGAGAGGUAAGUGGAAUUCCUAGUGUAGCGGUGAAAUGCGUAGAUAUUAGGAGGAACACCAGUGGCGAAGGCGGCUUACUGGACUGUAACUGACGUUGAGGCUCGAAAGCGUGGGGAGCAAACAGGAUUAGAUACCCUGGUAAA
rnacentral:rRNA from 1 species